AGGAGCCAGAGGCCAGAGUCCCGGCCCAGAGUGAAUCUGUGCGGAGACCCUGGGAGAAGAACAGCACAACCUUGCCAAGGAUGAAGUCGUCUUCUUCGGUGACCACUUCCGAGACCCAACCCUGCACGCCCAGCUCCAGUGAUUACUCGGACCUACAGAGGGUGAAACAGGAGCUUCUGGAAGAGGUGAAGAAGGAAUUGCAGAAAGUGAA
rnacentral:misc_RNA from 1 species